UACGUAGGGAGCAAGCGUUGUCCGGAAUCAUUGGGCGUAAAGCGCGCGUAGGUGGCCCAGUAAGUCCGUUCUGAAAGUCACAGGCUCAACCUGUGAAAGCGGAUGGAUACUGCUGGGCUAGAGUCCGGAAGAGGCGAGUGGAAUUCCCGGUGUAGCGGUGAAAUGCGCAGAUAUCGGGAGGAACACCAAUGGCGAAGGCAGCUCGCUGGGACGUUACUGACGCUGAGACGCGAAAGCGUGGGGAGCGAACAGG
rnacentral:rRNA from 1 species